rnacentral:rRNA from 1 species
UGGAACUUGCGGCUUAAUUUGACUCAACACUGGAAAUCUCACCAGGCCCGGACACCGGAAGGAUUGACAGAUUGAGAGCUCUUUCUCGAUUCGGUGGGUGGUGGUGCAUGGCCGUUCUUAGUUGGUGGAGUGAUUUGUCUGGUUAAUUCCGAUAACGAACGAGACUCCGUCCUGCUAACUAGUCGAGACGUCACUCUUGCGUUUCGAAUUCUUCUUAGAGGGACUGGCGGCAUCUAGCCGCACGAGAUGGAGCAAUAACAGGUCUGUGAUGCCCUUAGAUGUUCUGGGCUGCACGCGUGUUACACUGAAGGGAUCAGCGUGUCCUCCCUGGCCGAGAGGUCCGGGUAACCCGCUGAACCCCCUUCGUGGUAGGGAUCGGAGCUUGCAAUUAUUCUCCGUGAACCAGGAAUGCCCAGUAAGCGCAAGUCAUAAGCUUGCGUUGAUUACGUCCCUGCCGUUUGUACACACCGCCCGUCGCUACUACCGAUUGAACGUUUUAGUGAGGUAUUUGGACUGGACCUCAGCCGGUUCGCGCCGGCUGUGCUGUUCGGGAAGACUCCCAAACUUGAGCGUUUAGAGGAAGUAAAAGUCGUAACAA